GUUAUUUUUAAUUGAGAUCUCUCUCAGCUAUAAAAGUAGCAAACAGAUCAUUUUGAAAGAAUAGCUGCUCUAUUAUAAAUACAUCCACACCAAUUUUAAUGCAAAAUAUUGUCUGAAUCUGAGGACUUCCAUACUUAGCUGUUUCAAUAGAAAAUAGACCUUAGAAAUGUAAAAAAAAAAAAAAAAAUGUUGACACAACAUGUCAUAACAUUAUUAUAAGAUACUAAGAUAUUUUUUAAGGCAUUUGCCAACCUCUGAAAUCUAAUAAUUGCUGAACAGUUUCACUCAAACAUCAAAACAUCCUAGAUGCUGCCUUUUGGAUUUCUCACUUCAUUGCAUCUAAGUAAAUUAGAAAUGCUGUGGUUAAGAUGAUCUGCUUUGGUUAGACAUGUGCU